GGGAGAGUUUGGCUGGCUGGUGCCGCCCCGGGACUUCAAAUCCCGUGGGGGGUCGCCACGAGCGGUCCCCGGAGGGUUCGAUUCCCUUACUCUCCCGCCA
rnacentral:tRNA from 1 species